UACGGUGAGCCUGUCAUUAUUCAGAGAGGCUAGAUCCUCGCUGCUGAGAAGGAUCAUGAUGGGCUCCUCGGUGU
ensembl:miRNA ocu-mir-433 ocu-mir-433